CACUCCUACGGGAGGCAGCAGUGGGGAAUUUUGGACAAUGGGCGAAAGCCUGAUCCAGCAAUGCCGCGUGAGUGAAGAAGGCCUUCGGGUUGUAAAGCUCUUUUGUCAGGGAAGAAACGGUGAAAGCUAAUAUCUUUUGCUAAUGACGGUACCUGAAGAAUAAGCACCGGCUAACUACGUGCCAGCAGCCGCGGUAAUACGUAGGGUGCAAGCGUUAAUCGGAAUUACUGGGCGUAAAGCGUGCGCAGGCGGUUUUGUAAGUCUGAUGUGAAAUCCCCGGGCUCAACCUGGGAAUUGCAUUGGAGACUGAAAGGCUAGAAUCUGGCAGAGGGGGGCAGAAUUCCACGUGUAGCAGUGAAAUGCGUAGAUAUGUGGAGGAACACCGAUGGCGAAGGCAGCCCCCUGGGUCAAGAUUGACGCUCAUGCACGAAAGCGUGGGGAGCAAACAGGAUUAGAUACCCCUGUAGUCCCA
rnacentral:rRNA from 1 species